AUGGGUGGUCAAAUUAGUCGAGCAAAUUUGAGCCUAAUUAUUCAUUAGUUAGAUGCACUGAGUAUGGUCAUGUUAAUGAUUAGACCUAAUCAAAAUUUUUGAUGGAGGUGCAAACACCUGCUGAAGAGAUACCUGGGGCAAAACUAAUUACUAUAAAUUAUUUAAAAAAAUAAUUGAUUAAGAACCUAUCCAUAGGUGCACAUGGUUGGCCGAGCAAACUCGGGCCCGUGUGUAGUCUAUGUGGAUUCUAGUACCUACUAAAGAAUUAAUG
rnacentral:lncRNA from 1 species